CCAAACCACCUUUUCACCCCGUGUAUACCUUAAGGUGACGUGGUUGCAGACAUAUCACUGCUGUUGGGAUCUGUCGAACAAUGUAUGUCUUUGGAAGGAAGAAUGAUAUAGGAUAACAGAAAAGACGCAAGGAUUUGAGGGAUGAUCUAUCAUUUUGUACGUGUGCCAUGUUGCAGAGGCUUGUGAGGAGUAAUUUAAGCAGAUACAGUUCUGGGAAGCCAGCACGCAGCUGACUGAAAUGGAAUCUGGAGUACGGGAGUGUUGCUGAGCAGCGGCGUGGAGAUGGAGUUACUCAUGACUCCGAGUGGUGUUACUUUUCUGCAGUGCCAGCUGGCCCGCCGUGCAUCGGUGGGUUUCUCAAGCUCUUUGCAGAAUGAGUGAAAGAAGCCAUCAAGCUGCCUAAUUAUGUGACUAUAUCACCAUCUGAGGGAAGGCUGCCUCUAAAGAAUGGCCCAUCUGUUAAAGACUGUGGCCUGAGGGUCUGGCUGAAAGAAGAAGCUUUGAAAAGCCAUGGAUCGAUGGCUUCAUCUCAGAAUGGCAGAGAGCCACAUAGAGACCCCGCACAACACUAUCCCACCUUUAUACGAGCGAAGGUUAAUGCCGGGCCAUAUGUCACGAAAUGGUACCAAAAUAGCACUGAAUCUAACGGUCCUCGUUAAUAGCUUUUGCCUGCUUGGAUGGAUUGAUCUCACCAACAGGCAGAAGACAGGAGAUUAAUGGAUCCUGGUUGCAUACUCAAUUACGAGAAAUGCAUUUGUGAAGCAAACUGCCAGUGACUCUAAUCUGAAGAAUUCUGACUCCCUCCCGAGG